rnacentral:rRNA from 1 species
GUGGGGAAUCUUGCGCAAUGGGCGAAAGCCUGACGCAGCCAUGCCGCGUGGAUGAUGAAGGUCUUAGGAUUGUAAAAUCCUUUCACCGGUGAAGAUAAUGACUGUAGCCGGAGAAGAAGCCCCGGCUAACUUCGUGCCAGCAGCCGCGGUAAUACGAAGGGGGCUAGCGUUGCUCGGAUUUACUGGGCGUAAAGGGCGCGUAGGCGGACAUUUAAGUCAGGGGUGAAAUCCCGGGGCUCAACCUCGGAACUGCCUUUGAUACUGUGUGUCUUGAGUAUGAGAGAGGUGUGUGGAACUCCGAGUGUAGAGGUGAAAUUCGUAGAUAUUCGGAAGAACACCAGUGGCGAAGGCGACUCACUGGCCCAAUACUGACGCUGAGGCGCGAAAGCGUGGGGAGCAAACAGGAUUAGAAACCCCGGUAGUCC